GCCUGGGUGGCUCAGUCGGUUAAGCGUCUGACUUUGGCUCAGGUCAUGAUCUCAUGGUUCGUGAGUCUGAGCCCCACUUCGGGCU
rnacentral:tRNA from 1 species